rnacentral:rRNA from 1 species
UACGGAGGGUGCGAGCGUUGUCCGGAAUCAUUGGGCGUAAAGGGCGCGUAGGUGGCGACUCAAGUCAACGGUGAAAGCUCGACGCUCAACGUCGAGUCGGCCGUCGAAACUGGGACGCUUGAGCACUGUAGAGGCAGAUGGAAUUCCGGGUGUAGCGGUGGAAUGCGUAGAGAUCCGGAAGAACACCGGUGGCGAAGGCGGUCUGCUGGGCAGUUGCUGACACUGAUGCGCGACAGCGUGGGGAGCAAAGCAGGAGUAGAUACCCCGU